UACAGAGGUCUCAAGCGUUUGUUCGGAUUCAUUGGGCGUAAAGGGUGCGUAGGCGGCGCGGUAAGUCGGGUGUGAAAUCUCGGAGCUUAACUCCGAAACUGCAUUCGAUACUGCCGUGCUUGAGGACUGGAGAGGAGACUGGAAUUUACGGUGUAGCGGUGAAAUGCGUAGAUAUCGUAAGGAAGACCAGUGGCGAAGGCGGGUCUCGUGGACAGUUC
rnacentral:rRNA from 1 species